UGUAUUAUGGUCGCAAAAGGUAAUAGCGGGAGGGUGAAAACAUUUUAGCGGGAUCCCAAAACCUUUGGCGACCAGUAAGUUGUGGUCACAAAAACGCAAAAGGGCAUAUUUUAUAAUGAAAUUAGGUCAUUUUGAAUGUUUCCAAAGCUUUGCUUCCUCUCCUCCAUCGUUGGCCCUCUUCCUCCCAAUAGCCUGAGUUACUCUCUCUCUCUCUCGUCACUCUCUCACUCCCAACUGGCAACAAAACCCUAGCUUCCAUCUCCAUUCAAUUCGUCCCUUGUUCUGCCUCCGCCACCAGUUCCGGUGCCUUGCCACUCUUGACCUCCAGUCUAGGUAUGAUUUGUGUUCUUUUAAUUUUUUUUUUCUUUUCCCCCAAAAGGCAAAGAGGGAGAGAGAAAGAAGAGAAAGAAAAAUCAGACAUUUGAAAGAGAGAGAGAAACCGUGUGGAAAAGUGAAGGAUCUGAGUGAUGGAGGCCUGAUAGAUUAGAAGAUGAGUUGGAAGGAAGGAAUGACCCCUGAUUGUAUUUUUUUUCCCCCCAACUUCAAUUUAUCUAUGUUCAAUAAUUACUUUGUGUUUGAAAGACAAUGGUCUUGCUGGGCAUACAAAACUUGUGCAUAGAAGUUGUUUGAGGAUUUGUUAAAGAGACUAAUACUUCAUUAGCUCCAAGAUUUGACAUAGAUAUAUAUUUUGUUGUG